GCAGACAAUAAUAAAACAUCAGAGCACCUCAGACUCCAGGACUGAUUAUUGUAUCCAAGCUCAGAGCCAGCACCACUUCUUCUGACUCCUCUGUAAGUCACUGCUAUAGAAACCUCUCCACUCCACUGGACCUCCCAGUAACAUCUCCCAG